GGCUGCUGCCAUCCUGCACCAGAAUCACGAGGCGGGGUGGGGGGGCACUGAAUGCAGAUACCCAGAGUCAGGCCUGGUUAGUACUUGGGUGGGAGACCACCUAGGAAGACCAGGUGCUGUAGGUG
rnacentral:rRNA from 1 species